rnacentral:rRNA from 1 species
GAUGAACGCUGGCGGCGUGCCUAAUACAUGCAAGUCGAGCGAACAGACGAGGAGCUUGCUCCUCUGACGUUAGCGGCGGACGGGUGAGUAACACGUGGAUAACCUACCUAUAAGACUGGGAUAACUUCGGGAAACCGGAGCUAACACCGGAUAAGAUAUUGAACCGCAUGGUUCAUUAGUGAAAGACGGUUUUGCUGACACUUAUAGAUGGAACCGCGCCGCAUUAGCUAGUUGGUAAGGUAACGGCUUACCAAGGCAACGAUGCGUAGCCGACCUGAGAGGGUGAUCGGCCACACUGGAACUGAGACACGGUCCAGACUCCUACGGGAGGCAGCAGUAGGGAAUCUUCCGCAAUGGGCGAAAGCCUGACGGAGCAACGCCGCGUGAGUGAUGAAGGUCUUCGGAUCGUAAAACUCUGUUAUUAGGGAAGAACAAAUGUGUAAGUAACUAUGCACGUCUUGACGGUACCUAAUCAGAAAGCCACGGCUAACUACGUG